GACGUAGGGCGCGAGCGUUGUCCGGAUUUAUUGGGCGUAAAGGGCUCGUAGGCGGUUUGUCACGUCGGGAGUGAAAACUCGGGGCUCAACCCCGAGCCUGCUUCCGAUACGGGCAGACUAGAGGUAUGCAGGGGAGAAUGGAAUUCCUGGUGUAGCGGUGAAAUGCGCAGAUAUCAGGAGGAACACCGGUGGCGAAGGCGGUUCUCUGGGCAUUACCUGACGCUGAGGAGCGAAAGUGUGGGGAGCGAACAGG
rnacentral:rRNA from 1 species